rnacentral:rRNA from 1 species
UCUGAUACUGUUAGGCUAGAGUAGGAGAGAGGAAAGGUAGAAUUCCAGGUGUAGCGGUGAAAUGCGUAGAGAUCUGGAGGAAUACCGAUGGCGAAGGCAGCCUUCUGGCAUCAUACUGACACUGAGGCUCGAAAGCGUGGGUAGCAAACAGGAUUAGAUACCCUGGUAGUCCACGCCGUAAACGAUGUCUACUAGUCGUUGGGUCCCUUGAGGACUUAGUGACGCAGCUAACGCAAUAAGUAGACCGCCUGGGGAGUACGGCCGCAAGGUUAAAACUCAAAUGAAUUGACGGGGGCCCGCACAAGCGGUGGAGCAUGUGGUUUAAUUCGAUGCAACGCGAAGAACCUUACCUGGUCUUGACAUAUCUAGAAUCCUGCAGAGAUGCGGGAGUGCCUUCGGGAAUUAGAAUACAGGUGCUGCAUGGCUGUCGUCAGCUCGUGUCGUGAGAUGUUGGGUUAAGUCCCGCAACGAGCGCAACCCUUUUCCUUAGUUACCAGCGGGUUAUGCCGGGAACUCUAAGGAUACUGCCAGUGACAAACUGGAGGAAGGCGGGGACGACGUCAAGUCAUCAUGGCCCUUACGACCAGGGCUACACACGUGCUACAAUGGUAGGUACAGAGGGCAGCUACACAGCGAUGUGAUGCGAAUCUCAAAAAGCCUAUCGUAGUCCAGAUUGGAGUCUGCAACUCGACUCCAUGAAGUAGGAAUCGCUAGUAAUCGCGGAUCAGAAUGCCGCGGUGAAUACGUUCCCGGGCCUUGUACACACCGCCCGUCACACCAUGGGAGUU